rnacentral:lncRNA from 1 species
CCCAGGCUCCAAAUUUUCUUGCCCUUUGCAACCCCAAGUUUUGCGUUCAUUAUUUCUCCACAUGAAGACUAGAGACCAAGCCUGUGGGAUAGGUGGGGUCGUGAUAUGAUCUCUUGGAAGUUAUAAUCUCUACCAAUUGUUGCUUCACCUCAAACUCAUCCAUCAUCUUCCUCUACAAAAGAAAUAAAAUAAAGCAACAUCAAUAUGUACACACACACACAUAUAUAUAACAAGCCCAAUUUAAAAUCUCCAACUUGCAUACACAUCAAGAAAAGACAAACUUAAACUCAACGCAGACUAAUUUCCUUAUAAAAAUGGAGUUCAAAUAAGUUAAUGCACUUUAACUUAAACUGAAGAAAGAAAACUUACUCUUGCAUAUCUUUGGCGCUGCUCCCACUGAUCUCAGACUUAUUAUUUUUCGGAGGAAAAGGGCUGUCUGGGAGGCAAAAAACAAGGAAGUUAUAACCGUAAGGAUAGAAAGAGCAGUGAAAGUUUUGGUGCCUAAUCAUACAUAAGUAGACUUAAAUCAUAUUCCUUUUGCCAGUCCGAUAUAGCAAUUCAAAUUCCUUUCCAUUUAGUACUACAAUAUGCAUCUUCUGUGCCAUCAUCAUUGACUAGCAGCUCUAAGCAAAAUCAGGGGAUAAAAGAAACAAGAAGUACAUUAAAAACAAGGAAAAGAAAAGGAAAAACUCACUAUUCUGCUGCAAAAGUUAGUCCUCUAGUCUUAAAAUCAUGGAUGCUUUACCAGCUAAUGUAAGUAGUAAUUUCAACCUUCUACAUAUUGCCAACCUAAAAAUUUGAGAACUACUUGAACUUAUAAUAAACAAGAUUAAAACUGACAAACCAAAAAUAAUAACUUAUUAAACAGCUGUAAGUGAGCCCCUUGUAUGAUCAAAUUAUUUCUCUCUAUUCAAAAAGACAAUCAAAAAAAGAUAAGAUCUCCUCUCUCCAACAAAAAGAAAUGAAUCUAUAUGGGAAUGUUUAUGCACAGUCUAAACCAAGAAAACUAAUUUUAGAAAAUACAAACAUAGCAAAUCACUUAAUUUUGAGAGAGCUUUAGAUCAAAUUACUCUUCAAACUCAAAAUAGUAUAUGCCUCCACCCUCCUAAAUUUAACUAAUCAUCAUAAUUCAAGCAAAUGCCAAAAGCAUUAUUCUUUUGCUCAUUUAACCCAAAACAACAACAUAAUAAAACCAAUCACAAAAAGCACCAAAUAUUCAAGAGAAAGCCUCAAGAUAAAACUAAAUGGUCCAAAACUAGGUUGUGGUCUCUCCCAAGUCCAAAGGCAGAAAUAAAUUAUUUUUAGGUAAAGGUAUUAAAACAAGGGAAGCACAAAAAAUCUUAAAAGGAGGUAAAACAACAUGUAUAAACCCAACAAUACACAACAUGAAAAAUCGACACCUACGUAAAUGGUACAGGUUCCUCAUUUCAAAUUAGGAAUAUUAAAUAAAAAAUAAAAGGCAAGUGCUAUUUAUUAAGUUGGUCACUGAUAUUAUCCACAUACAAAGAAUCAUAAACUAAAAUGAAGAUAGAUGACAGAAGCAAGAGGAACGAAAAGAAAAGAAAAAAACUUGUUUCAGUUUCGAGCUAUUUGAUAAUUCAAUGACCCUUGAUUAAAUUUCAUAAACAUUAACAUGUUACAAAACUCACAACUCAAAAAAAAUAAAAAAAAAAAAAAAAAACAGAGAAACUAGUUGUCAUACCUAUACCUAACUAGAAGCAGCAGACGAAGAAGUGGUGAAGGAGGAAUUCACCAACUCAGUGGUUGAGGGGUUGUCUACGACCUCGUUAUUACGACAAAAACAAACAAGAUUUAUUUUUCUAGAAUCAAAAUCAAAUAAUUACAGAAAAUUGGUUAAAUAAAUAAAAUAAUUAAAUGAACACACCGUUGAAUCAGAGUUGGUCUGUGAGUGAAGCGAUUGUAGAGAAUCUCUGGUAUUUGCGUGAGUCAGAGAGUGUUGAUGUAGCAGCAAGUGGAGUAGAGAAAUCUGGAGGGGAAGAGAGAAUGAGAAAUAACUCAUGGCACGAGAAAUCUGAAGGGAGAAGGAAGAGAGGUUGGGUAUAUGAGUGAUUGGUCAUCGACGAAGGAUCGCGCUGGGAGCGUCGAUGGAGGAUUUAGGCCCCGUUUAGG